rnacentral:rRNA from 1 species
AACGAACGCUGGCGGCAUGCCUAACACAUGCAAGUCGAACGAGACCUUCGGGUCUAGUGGCGCACGGGUGCGUAACGCGUGGGAACCUGCCCUUAGGUUCGGAAUAACUCCCCGAAAGGGGUGCUAAUACCGGAUAAUGUCUUCGGACCAAAGAUUUAUCGCCUUUGGAUGGGCCCGCGUUGGAUUAGCUAGUUGGUAGGGUAAAAGCCUACCAAGGCGACGAUCCAUAGCUGGUCUGAGAGGAUGAUCAGCCACACUGGGACUGAGACACGGCCCAGACUCCUACGGGAGGCAGCAGUGGGGAAUAUUGGAAAAUGGGGGGAAGGCUGAACCAGCAAUGCCGCGUGAGUGAUGAAGGCCGUAGGGUUGUAAAGCUCUUUUACCCGGGAUGAUAAUGACAGUACCGGGAGAAUAAGCUCCGGCUAACUCCGUG